GAGACAUUACAGGAUUUUAAAAGAAAAUAAUAGUCAAUCAGAAUGGGCGUCAUAAUGAUUCUUACUGUGUUAACAGUUAUGCCUAUACUUUCGAUAUUGGUACUAUCAAGCAAAGCAGAAUAGGGGAAAAAUCAGUCAAAACAAGAUGGUGAGGGCAAUACAGGAUUUCAAAUCAAGUUAAUAGGAAAUCAAAGUAGGUUACUAUAAUGUACCCUGCUAUUUUUUAUUUUCCCUUAAUUAAAAAAAGAAAACUAAAAAAGUAAAUAAUUUAAAAAAGGGGGGGGGGACUGAGAUAAAAGAGGGCCUAACAACAGAACAGCGCAGGUCAAAUCAUAACCAUUUAAGCAAACCAGUGUUUCACCACAAGAUAUCCUGACAUAAAAAUAGUUACCAUAGUGUCUCUUUCCUUGAAAUCUUUGAGUAUAACUUCUUAUACUGUAGCACCAAAGAUAUCACGACACUAUAAAACCAUUCAAGAGAAUGACAUUAUUGCAGGGUAUUUAGAACCAAUUGACAGAAAAUGAACAAUGGUUUCUAUAUAAACUCCUUGUCUAUAAAAGUUUUUGCUUAUACUAUCAUAUAUAAUAAAAUCCAAUAAGAUACAACCUUUUAACACCAAUGGAGACUGAAGAAUACACAUUUGAUGGGACUUCAAAACAAGAUGAUACUAAAUCAGCACUAGCUAUUAUGAUGUUUCGUUUUCUCCAAAAUUGCUGUUCCUACCUUCCAGUCUUCUCUACUUCAUUUCUGUUGAGCUCUUUUUCUGUCCUUUGUUGUCAGUUUGUCUUCUUCAUUUUGUUUUCUGCUCCAUUCAUUGUGGCCUCUCAGCCACUAUUUCUGGAAUCUUGGUAUUUUCUUUUUUUAGACUAUCCUGCAGUAUUCUCUGUAGAGUUGAAUUAGUGGUUGCAAAUUCCCCUAGUUCCUCUUUAUCCUGGAAGCACCUUGUUUUUCCAUCAAUUUCUAGGGACAGUUGUGCAGGAUACAUCAAUCUUGCCUGGAGGUUAUUAUCUUUCAAAGCUUGAAUUAUUUCCCCCCACGCUCUUCAUGAUUUGAUGGUUUGUGCCGAGAAGUCUGCUGUAAUUUUGAUGGGUGUUCCUUUGUAAGUGAUCUGUUUCUUGUCUCUGACAGCUUUUAAUAUUCUGUUCUUAUAUUGGAUUUCUGUAAUUUUGAUUAUUAUGUGCCUGGGUGUAGCUCUGUUUGGGUUGUAGAUUGCUGGGGUCCUGUAUGCCUCAUAUAUCUGAGUAUCUUUACUAUUUGCCAAAUUAGGGAAAUUCUCUUGGAUUAUUUCUGUGAAUAGCUUUUGAGUCUAUUUGUUUGUGUCCCCACUUCUUCUCUUACGUUCUUAAUUCUUAAGUUAUAGAUCCUCUUAUCAUCUUCUAGUUUUUGUAUUAUUGCUGUUUGUUUUUUUGUUAUUUUUAAGAAGUUUUUCAUUACAUGCUCCCAUAUUACAAAUCUGCCCUCCAGUUCAGAUAAUCUGUCCUUAGUUUCUUUCAAGCUGUUAUGCCAGUUUUCAAUAGAGUUUUUAGUUUCCUUGUAAUCUCUUUGAACCUCCUUCAUGUAUUCUAUGUUUUCUCUAUUUUCUCCAUCAAACAAUUAUCCCCUUUUUUUCUGUUCUUCCAUUGUACCAUCUGUUUUUUCCUGGGUGGUACUUAGCAUUUCUCUAACUAUUCUGCUUAUGUCUAGCUUCGGGUCAUUCAUAACUUCAUUCCUGAACUCCUCUAUGAGGCUCUGGAGAUAGCACUUUAUAUCUAUUGGUCCCAUGUCUACUAUUGCGUGUUUCUCGGGAUUGGGGACUGAGGACCCUUUCUUGUUGCUCCCUCUUCCCAUAUUCUUUGUUCCUUAUAUUAAGCGUGUAUAGGAGGCCCAGCUUCCUUCCCUGUCAGCCACAGUCUGUUUGAAUUGCCGGCUAGGUGUUCCUGCCCACUGCAGUGUACUAGGGAGACACAGACCUGGGCAGCCUCUUCUGGGCCCGCCCCUCCAGGUCAACCUACCCCCAAGGCUUCACUGCUAGGGUGCGCCUUCAGGUACUGGGACCUGAGUUGGGCUAUCCUAUUGGGUCUCAGCCAGCGGCUUCUCACAAGCCAGGCACUCCCCACCAAUCCCGCUUGAGAGGGGGAUAUGUGACUGAAGUCACUGCAGCUUCUUGUUCCGGGAAGUCUGCCUGGUCCAAGUAUGUACUCUGCUGAAGCCUCCUUCUCUAUGUAAGGGUCCAAUUCACUGGCAGGUCAAUGCAGGGCACCGGCCAGUCCUGCUCCCAUCUCCUUUCAACGCUUCUCACUCUCCGAGGUUUUGCGCCUCUCUCCCUGCUGUGCCGACCGGGAUGCAACAGCAGCUGCAGGUGAUUCAAAUUGCAGUUUCCAGUGGUGCGGGUCCAGCUUCCGUGCUGAGACCUUAUCUGUGCCUGCUAUCUUGCCAGGAUUGCAUUUCCAGAUGGUUUCUCUUAAUUUAGUUCAUUCCUGGGUCAGCAAAGAAUAUCCCCCCUUGCCUGGAUCUUCCUGUCCUGCACCAUUCCUAGAUUUCAAGUGCAGUUUCUCCGAGAGCCUCAGAGGCUGCUGCUAUCUAUCCGCCAUGUUCUUCUGGUAAAAAAGGUUGUAUAUUAUGGACAAACUUAUACCAACUGCCACUGACAGAAGCAUCCCAUCCAAACAGCAGUGCAGUAUUCACUGCUGUACAUGGAGGAAAUGUUUCCAACACAGUCACAAAAUAAACCCCAAUCAAUUUAAAAGAAUUUCAAUUAUGCAGAGAAUUUUGUCUCACUAUGAUGAAAUACGUUUAGAAAUUAACACUAGGGACAGCACUAUUUACCUAGAACCUGAAAGAGUAAACAGUUAAGAGGAAGCAUGGGAAUGGAGCUCAGUGACAAAGUGCCUGCCCGGCAAGCGCAAGGCCCUGAGUUCAAUUCCCAGGGCCAAAAAUAUAACCUAAAACAAAGGAGAGAAUGUUAGCGGAUAUGUUUGAAAGCUUUGAUGCAGGGAAAAAAUUUCCUGAAAGACAAGAAGGGCCCAAGUCUAUGGGCCUGUGCCUCAUUUCCAUGGAAGACACUGAAUUCGUUAGACCUUUCUGAGUAACUUCAGGCUUGAUUAGCUUCACUGCUGAAUUUUACCAAACACUGAAGGUAGAAGAAGUAUCAGUUUUAUACACUGUCAUAGGAAUUUGAGGAGCAAAAUUUCCCAGUUUAUGAGGUCACUGUUAUUGUGAUUAUUCAGAGCAGACACAAGUAUCAGAGAGAUAACUACACAUCAAUACCCUUGAAAAGAACAGACACAAGUGUUCUUAAAACUUAAACAAUGGAGAGAAACACCUCUUAGAGCAUCACUGAAAAGCACUAACUAAAGAGAUUUCCACAGUAGUGACAGUGAAUUAUCAUCUGAAUUAUUCAAGGUGAUAAAAGCUUAAAUUCAACAGAAUGAUCAGUACAUUUACAAAAUACACUACUACAAAAUUACCUGAGCUAAAAAAAAGACACGAUACACAACGUAAAUGAGUGACUUAGCAACGAAUUUGAGUCCAUAAAUGGUACCAAACAGAAAUCCUAGAGAAUUAAACUUGUAUCCAAAGUGUGGGCAACAGAAAUGACCACAAGGACAGAGCCCUGGAGUUAGAAGACAGGGCUGGUGUCAGUGCCCAAAUACUCAGGGACACCUUACAAAACUGGAACAUGGACAGUAGAUCCAACAGCUAUUAGAUGGUGUACAGACAACUAACUGGAAUAAGUGAAAAACCACAAGACAGCACAGAUGGCAUAAAAAUCUGUGACAGAAACAAUAGCAGAAAACUUUCUGAAUAUGGGGAAGUAACUUGACAUGCAGAUAAGAAAGACAGAUGAAACCCCAAGUAGCCACAAUCAGAAAAGGAUCUCCCCAUGGCAUAUGACAGUCAAUACCUGGGAAGUCCAAGGUGAGAACAGAAUCUUAUAACCUCAUAAAGAAAAGCAAGGAAUCACUUAUAAAUGUAAAACCAUUAGAAAUACAGCACACUUCUCAACACAAACCAUUAAGACCAGGAGAGCUUGGAGUGAGGUAUUUCAACACAUAAAAGAAAGCAACAUCCAACCCAGGUGAUAUACCCUACAAAACUCUCUUUCAAAACCACUCUGCAGGACUUCAGGGCAACCACUUCCCUCGCUGGAGCCCAGCCAGUCCUGUCUGAAACACACUGUGGAUGGCCUGGCUGUAAGGCCUCUCUAGCUUCCCUGGCCUUGAAACUGUCAGAUUGUUGGACACUGUUAGUGUAGAAACAGGAGAAGUGACUGGGAGGCCCUGGCUUAGAGGAGCAGUGAUCUCAGUGCCCAGGGAUUUCCCUGAACUCUCAGAGGACGAGCAGGAGUUCUCCCAGGGCCUGGCACAUGUAUGACCGUCUUGAUGUUCACCUCAGAGACAGAAUACUGAACUCCAGUUGCAGGAGGUGUGUUGCCUCCCAGGAUUUGGCAACUGUAGAUAGAGAGCUUGUCUGCAUGGCAGGAUGUAGGUGAAACCUCCAGAGGAGUCUUCAAGGUUAGAUGAUGACACUGUGAACAGCAUCCCUGCAAACUUUCCUGGUCUUGACUAUUUCAGGAGCAUAACACUAACUUUGUCAUAAAGGUGCAGAAACAUAGGUUUACCAGACACACACUCAUUCUUUAGAAUAUUUCUAUUGAUGAGUUAUUAACUUUACUUUUAUAAGUGAUGUUAUAUUACACAGUGGCUUACCAGGAAAAAAAACAAAAAAAUAUAAAGUAUUGAAUUUUUAAUAUUUAUUGAGUGUUUAUAAUAAAGCAUCAAAAUUUAAAACAUCAACAAUUUUUUGGCAUAAAGUCUACAAAAAAUAACAAAAAUAUUCCUAUACAAAUUACACUGAAAAUACCAACAGCAAUUUACAAAAAAGUAAUCUUCACUUCAAUUAUCACAUCUAAAUCAGUCUGUGCACAUGACCACAGCGUAUUCCAUAGACACAUAAUACUCACACUGGGAGCACACAUUUUGCUGUCCUACUCUUUUUGUAGGAUGUACUUGAUAUCUCAAUGGUUUUGCUGUUUUGUCAAGGUUAUUGUGCUAUUAGAGUGUGUAGCCAACAGGAACAUAAAAUAUCAAAAGAAGUUCUUAAAUUCUUACUGUGUGUUGUGCCUUUAGAAUACACAUCAAUGGGGCUGGGGGUUUAGCUCAGCACCAUAAGCACCUGCCUUGCAAGCAGGCGGUCAUGAGUUCAAUCCCGGUACCGAUAAAAAAAUGAAAAAGACAAAAAAAAAAAAAAAAAAGAAUACACAUCAAUAUAUUUUCACAUCAAAGAUAACAUCAAAAAUAGAAACCUAUGUGAACUGCAAUGUAAACAGAAACAAAAAUCUACCACAUAAAUAAGCUUUGCUUCAACUGUCAUAUCCAAAGCAGUCUUUGCACUUGUCAUACCCAAGGCAGUCUUGCAUGUUCCAUACACGAGGGACACUUCCACUGAUAGCAUGUUUUGUUUUCCUGUAUUUUCUUGUAGGACACAGUUGAGAUCUUUUUGUUUUCCUCUUAUCAUCGUGGAUCUAGGAAGCUGUGUGUGCCUGUUCACCUGUCAGCUCACCAGUGCACUCCACAGUACUUCACAUAAUUCACUGACAAGAAAAGCUGGAUUUUUCUCUGCUGUAAAUAAUCUCAUAUGAACUGUAGUCCCAAACCAUAAGAACAUUUCUGUUCAUAACAUCAUCUGGUUUAUUAUUCUAUGAAUAAACACCUUGUGGCUAAGUUCAAGGCUAAAUGUCUAAAUUGAAAGCACAAAAAGUCCUCACAUGCACAAGGGCAUGCAUUAUGCCAGAGUUGACCCAUCAUUUUCCAUGAGGCCUUUACAUUCCUGCAAUCCCUAUGAGAAUCCACUAUGAGAAAUCCCUCCUAAGCACACAGAUCCAUAAAUGCUUUCAGUUCAGCACCAUGUCAUAAAACAUUUUUGAAUAUGGCUAAUGGUGCAUAGAGAACACUUUACUUGAAUUUUAACCUCUAUAUUUCACAGAAUCUUGUAACAUUUCAUGUGUUAAAAUUUCCAACUUUGAAUAGCAGUAUCAGCAUUCGUCCAAUACAUUUCACUCUUGCCAAGUCCCUCACUAUAUUUUUGGACUUAGUAUUAACAUUAGAUCAUUUCAUUUGGUUAUGUGGCCAUUUUGCAACAUUUUCACUAGUCAAAUAUGUAUUCACAUUGUUUUCUUUGUCAUCUUAACAAAGGAGGUCGGUAUCAGUAUCAGUUGAUCUUUGCUCCACUUCACUGUCCCAGGAAGUUUGACUCACAUGGCCAAUGUCAAAGUCCUCUCCCUCCUCUUCAUCGACAUCCAUCCAUCCACAACACUCUUCUGUUAUGAAAGUGUUUUGUCAUAAUGGAUCAUCUUCAUCACUCAUGCAUGAGUAAUCUGACGAUUCAUUCACUUGUGACCUCCUCCAAGAUAUAGUUUUCACAUGCCAUUGUACAGAACUGGGCUAUUUCCACCAGAAAAAUCAAAAGAAAGCUUUUAAAAAGACAAAUCCUGGAGUAAUGGGAGAUUAUUGAACCCUCUUUGAUGCUUGAAUAAACACACAAAAGCAGUUAGAUGGAGCACAACGUGGGUGAAAAUCCCAUUUUGAGACUUUUCCACUUGCUCACCCACUUCAUUGUUUGACACAGCAAGUUGGUAAUCACAUAAACUGCUUUCCAGUGUCCCUCAGGGGAAGGUAGUGACAUGCCCAGCUGGCUAUUGCACUAAAGUAAAAUUUACUGGUACAGGAUAGGCCUACUGCAUGUGGUUAUGUUGCUACCUACACUCUAAUAUGUCCUUGUGUCUCCUGAAACCUUUUCUUAACCAAAGACCCACUCCAACAGUAGAGUGGCCAACUCUUCUGUAUUUGGCACAGAGGACUUUUACUUUGUACUUUUUCUACCUUCUUGCUUUGCAUCUAAUUGGGUGAGGUUUCCCAUCUCGUCUCCCAGUCUCUGCUUUUGAUUGGGAAGACACUGCCCCUUCAUUAGAAGGGAAUUAGAGCUUGCAAGAGUUUGCCUCUGUCAGGUGGCUGUUUCAUGAGCCUUGCAGCAUCUUGUCGUUGCUCUUUUUCAUCUUCUUCUUCUUUAUUUUUUAAAAUUUUAUUUUAUUUUAUGUUUUUCGUAUCAGGGAUCAAACUCAGGACCUCACACUUGCCAGACAGAUCUUAUGCUGCUGAGUUAAAUCCCUGGCCUAAAUAGAGGAUAAAACCAAGGAAAAUAAAACAGAACAAAACCGAUCAAGAUAAACCAGUAUAAGUGAUACAGGUCUUUAAAACUUAGAAAAUCAGCAAUAGUUACCAUAAUGCCUCUAUCAUCUUCAAAAUAGCUGCAGAUACCUUUGGACCUGGUAAAAAUCAAACAACAGAAUAGAGCAGAAACAACAAACACAAAACAAUGACUGCAGUAAAGGACUUCAAAACAAGCUCACAGUAAGUCCAGAAUGGCUACCAUAACACGUCUUGCUAUCUUUUGAACAGUUGUUCAUGGCAUCAGAUUUAAUAUAAUCAAACAAAAUGAAAGAAUAAAACCCAACCAACAAAGCAAUGAAAAUGACAUGGUUUCCAGGCAGGGCCCACCCCCUUGUGAGGCCUGGUUCUCGCUCCACAGUCUGCGAAUGCUGCUGACUGGGAGAGAGGCUUGGGCGUGGCUGUCCCCACUCCAGCAGCAGCUGUCCUGCUCUUCUGCAGGAGCCAUUCGUUUUGGAGUCAAUGGGCUCGUCACCUGUGUAAAAGCUAUUUAUGUUUUCUUUGAGGAUGCCGUGGAUAUAACUUUGAAAAUCCCAAGGCCACCCCAGGGUGGUGUGAAUCCGUGGCAGUUAAACAUAGCCAUAUACAGGAUGCUGCCCCACAUCUGGGGAGUGAGUUUGUAGUUUCCUCCACGUAUGCCACACUGUGUCUCAGGAAAUACAGUACUACAGGGUGCCUUGUUUUCUUUUCAAUAUGUGAGCCUCUAACAUGUAGAAUACAAAACCAGUCCUGAUUUUCAUAAAGGUCCACAUAUUCAGCUUUAACAGACUUUUCUUCAGACUUGAGUUCCUGCAAAAAAAUUCUCCUUUGUGAGCCAGGGUCUUGCUCUGUAGCCCAGGCUGGCCUUGAACUCACAGUGAUCAUCUUGCCUCAGCCUCCUGAGUGCUGGAUCACAGGCAUGUGGGACCACAGCUGGUUCUUUCAUUUCAACCUAAGGGACUCCUCUACCCAAGGCAGGCCUAGUAGGAAGGACGGACAUUCUUCAGUGCUUGCAUCUAGGAAUGUCUGAGCUUUCCCCCUCAUUUUAAGGACAGUUUUGCUGGAUGUAAAAUGCUUAGUUGAGAGAGCUUUUUGUUUUGUUUCACUGUUUCAUUCACACAGCACAUGUCCACCUGUUUCCUUCUGUCCUCCUGUAACAGAAUAUCCCGCACCCCAGUCAGUAUACUGCAGUUCUUAGUUGUCCAGGUAACAGUUCUGUCUCUAAGAAACGGCUGGUCACUGAGACGCCUAGCUGGUCACUGUGAUGCACGCUGCAUAAACCAACCCCAAUCAACAAGCCAUUUUGCCCCGGUACUCCCCACUUGCUUAUCCUAUACAGGCCUCAGACCAUCAGAGAUCAGGCCCUGAUAUUCUGGGAAUGUACCAAUCAGUGCCCGUUGGUGUAAAUAAAUGUGUCUCCAACUCCUGGGUGUCCUUUCUGUGACUGUGCUUGCCGCUGCUCUCCAAGGAUUUUGAGGAUAAGUCUAAUGAUUAUGUUUUUGGGGAAUUGCUGUCAGCUGCACAGGCAUUAAUUUAUUUGUCAUAUUUUAUACACUGAACGUUACGUUAUUCUAAUGUAAGUGAAGUUGCAGCAUCACUUUGACACCAGUAAGAAUUAAGAGCAAAAGGAACUGGAGAUGCUGAGUGUAGACAUCAUGGGAUCUCUAAAUGCAAGAGGUAUUACAGAUGCUGAGAACAGAUUCUCAGAACAGAAACAAAAAGGGAUAUUGAAGCAUCCUACAGGUCUGAAUUUCUAAAACAAAAGUGUCAAUCUCCAUAACUCACAUUAGUAAGACAUUUUGUAACAUUUUUCUGUUAGAAUCAAAAGACCCUCAUGGCCAAGAGUGUGAUGAGUGAAGUGGAGGUGACCAGCUCUGCCUGGGCCCACUGGCACCAUGACCUCACAAGAUCCCCUGUGAGGUCACAGCAGUUAGCUGUGUAAGGUAGGGUGUUCACCCCAGAGACUCUUUGUGGGUGAAGUAGAUUGGUGUUUGGAGUUGAGUUGGCGUUUUGAGAUUCGAAAUUUUUGUCAUUGAUUUUAUAAAGCCUAGUUCCAUCAGGGCACCCUUCGAGGUGGGUAAAUCAUCUUUGCUGGACGUCAUGUCAUCGUCCACAGAAAUGUCAUCGUUCACAGGAAACUUCCAUCAAGACUAUGACGUGCUGAUGCCCCUUGGUGAGGGUCACUUUGCCAAGGUGGUACUCGCUGAACAUGUGAGCACAAGGAUGCUGGUAGCUGUGAAGGUACUUCAAAAGGACAAGUUGAGGCCUACUGCUGUUAGACGGGAGGUCAGCAUCCUAAAGGACCUUCAGCACCCCAAUAUCAUUCAGUUGCUGGAAGUGUCAGAAAAUAGUACCACUAUGUUCCUGGUAAUGGAAUAUGCACGCGGGAAAGACCUGCAGCGACAUAUCAAGCGUGCUGAGAGACAGAAGCUGCAGGAGGAAAGGGCACGGCUGAUAUUCCGAGAACUCCUGGAGGCUGUGCAGUACUGCCAUAACAGGGGAGUCAUCCAUGGGGACCUGAAACCGGCGAACAUAUUAAUGGACCGUGAAGGCCACCCCAAGCUCAGCGAUUUUGGCGUGGCUUUCAGGUUCCUUCCUGGCCAGGAGGUGACCACGUGUGGAGGCACCCGAAAGUAUGCUGCCCCAGAGAUAUUUUUACAAAAGAAAUACCAAGGCCCACCACUGGACAUUUGGUCUUUAGGGAUACUUUUAUUUGAGAUGCUCGCUGGGGUACGCCCAUUUAGUGGGAGCCAAACACGACUGACAAAGGAUGCCCUAAAGGGGCGAUACCAGUUUCCCCAGCACUUCUCCAAAGAGGUGCAAAGCUUAAUAAAGGGUCUUCUCAACCCUGACCCAAGAAUGCGCCCUACUUUAGAGAAAGUAAGGCAGCAUCCAUGGCUUCAGCUUGAAUCUGUCCCUUGUCAUCCUCCUCAACUGCUCCCCAAGGCCACAGAAAGGGCAAUAUUGCACAUUAUGGCUGGGAAGGGGUACAACCGGCUGAAGGUGAUUGAUGCAGUGAAGUGCAGAAAAUACGAUCCUGACAUGGCGCCCUUCCUGCUACUACAGGACAUGGCACUCGAGAAACUCCACUUGAGGUCUGAGGUGAAGCCCACACACAAACGUGAGGCUGAAGAUCUGUUUGAACAGUCCACAAACAAAGAUGAGUAUACAGAUGAAUAUCAGCCAUCUUCAUCUCCUCCCCCUGUAGCAUCUCACAAACCAAGCCGUGCUAUUGCUACUACCAAGGCCUGCCAGCCCAGCCAUACUACUACCAUCAAGUCCUGCCAUCCAGGCCCUUCUACUCCCAAAGCAUCCCGUCAACCAAGCCCUGCUUCUCCCAUCAAGUCCUAUCAUCCAGGACCUGCUACCCCUAAAGCAUCCCGUCAACCAAGCCCUGCUUCUCCCAUCAAGUCCUACGAUACAGGACCUGCUACCCCUAAAGCAUCCCGUCAACCAAGCCCUGCUUCUUCCAUCAAGUCCUACCAUUCAGGGCCUGCUACCCCUAAAGCAUCCGGUCAACCAAGCCCUGCUUCUUCCAUCAAGUCCUACCAUUCAGGGCCUGCUACCCCUAAAGCAUCCCGUCAACCAAGCCCUGCUUCUCCCAUCAAGUCCUAUCAUCCAGGACCUGCUACCCCUAAAGCAUCCCGUCAACCAAGCCCUGCUUCUCCCAUCAAGUCCUACGAUACAGGACCUGCUACCCCUAAAGCAUCCCGUCAACCAAGCCCUGCUUCUUCCAUCAAGUCCUACCAUUCAGGGCCUGCUACCCCUAAAGCAUCCGGUCAACCAAGCCCUGCUUCUUCCAUCAAGUCCUACCAUUCAGGGCCUGCUACCCCUAAAGCAUCCCGUCAACCAAGCCCUGCUUCUCCCAUCAAGUCCUAUCAUCCAGGACCUGCUACCCCUAAAGCAUCCCGUCAACCAAGCCCUGCUUCUCCCAUCAAGUCCUACGAUACAGGACCUGCUACCCCUAAAGCAUCCCGUCAACCAAGCCCUGCUUCUUCCAUCAAGUCCUACCAUUCAGGGCCUGCUACCCCUAAAGCAUCCCGUCAACCAAGCCCUGUUUCUCCCAUCAAGUCCUACGAUACAGGACCUGCUACCCCUAAAGCAUCCGGUCAACCAAGCCCUGCUUCUUCCAUCAAGUCCUACCAUUCAGGGCCUGCUACCCCUAAAGCAUCCCGUCAACCAAGCCCUGCUUCUUCCAUCAAGUCCUACCAUUCAGGGCCUGCUACCCCUAAAGCAUCCCAUCAACCAAGCCCUGCUUCUCCCAUCAAGUCCUAUCAUCCAGGACCUGCUACCCCUAAAGCAUCCCGUCAACCAAGCCCUGCUUCUCCCAUCAAGUCCUACGAUACAGGACCUGCUACCCCUAAAGCAUCCCGUCAACCAAGCCCUGCUUCUUCCAUCAAGUCCUACCAUUCAGGGCCUGCUACCCCUAAAGCAUCCCGUCAACCAAGCCCUGCUUCUUCCAUCAAGUCCUACUAUACAGGACCUGCUACCCCUAAAGCAUCCCGUCAACCAAGCCCUGCUUCUUCCAUCAAGUCCUACCAUUCAGGGCCUGCUACCCCUAAAGCAUCCCGUCAACCAAGCCCUGCUUCUCCCAUCAAGUCCUAUCAUCCAGGACCUGCUACCCCUAAAGCAUCCGGUCAACCAAGCCCUGCUUCUUCCAUCAAGUCCUACUAUACAGGACCUGCUACCCCUAAAGCAUCCCGUCAACCAAGCCCUGCUUCUUCCAUCAAGUCCUACUAUACAGGACCUGCUACCCCUAAAGCAUCCCAUCAACCAAGCCCUGCUUCUUCCAUCAAGUCCUACCAUUCAGGGCCUGCUACCCCUAAAGCAUCCCGUCAACCAAGCCCUGCUUCUCCCAUCAAGUCCUAUCAUCCAGGACCUGCUACCCCUAAAGCAUCCCGUCAACCAAGCCCUGCUUCUUCCAUCAAGUCCUACUAUACAGGACCUGCUACCCCUAAAGCAUCCCGUCAACCAAGCCCUGCUUCUUCCAUCAAGUCCUACCAUUCAGGGCCUGCUACCCCUAAAGCAUCCCGUCAACCAAGCCCUGCUGUUCCCAUCAAGUCCUGUAAAACCAGCCAUGCCUCUACUGAGUCAUACUGGCAGCCCAAUCCUGCCUCUCCCGGUGAGUCCUUCCAGCACAGCCCUGGGACUCCAAAUGCUGCCUUCACUGCUGCCCCAGCCCCUGUCAGCAGUAGGAGGUGGGGCUGGAAAACUGUCAAGAGAACCAUGAGAGACUGCCUGCAGGCCCUGUGCUGCUGCCCCCUAUCGACGUGCAAGUGUCACAAACACAAGGUGGUCGCAGUUGCAGAUCCAUGAUCCCUCCUAUGGAUGUGGUCAUCCUGACAGCGAGGUCAGCCACACAAGUGGAAGCCACAAGAACACGAAUUCACCUUCAGCCGGUUGUACCCCUUCCCAGCCAUAAUGUGCCCUUUCUGUGGCUUUGGGGAGCAGUUGAGGAGGAUGACAAGGGACAGAUUCAAGCUGAAGCCAUGGAUGCUGCCUUACUUGCUCCAAGCAGAUGCAAGCCAUCCAACAGAUUCCAGUCCCUGUGACUAAAAACCGAGUGGAAAAAUUUCUAGGAGCCAUAGUCCUGACGCAGAGUUUGGGACCCUGGCAGAGGCCUGUUGCCUAUCUUUCCAAGAGACUUGAUUAUGUGGCAGCCAGAUGGCCACCUUGUCUGUGGGUGUUUUCCUCGGUAGUCAUCCUGAUAGAGGAGACACAAAAACUGACUUGUGGACCAAAAUUCUUAAUUGUCUCCUCCUAUUCGCUGGAGACUCUCAUCAAGCCUCCACCGGACCAAUGGCUGCCCAACUCCCAAGUCAUGCAUUAUCAAGCAUUACUUCUAGAUCUGACUACCAUCAGUUUCAAGGGGACAGCGGCUUCAAACCCUGCCACUCUGCUGCCUGAUGAUGCCCCUCCUUGCCCUCCACAUCUGUAUUGGGGACCAGACUUGACAGAUGAGCCACUAUUCAGAGUUCCUUUGUAUUUCUCCGAUGGAAGCAAUUACAUUUAUCCAGCCCACUGAGAGAACAAACACCCUUCUGUAGAGCCUGAGUCACCUGUGCUCAUCAAGAGGCUUCACCGUGGAUCUCUUGAGCCAUUGAAAAGGUCCCUACAUUGUAGUCCUCAGCACUCCAACUGCUAUCAAAGUAGCCAGAAAGCCUGCCUCGAUGCAUCAUUCCCACUUCAAGCAGGUCCUGGCUUCCAAAGGCGAUCAACCUACAGAUAAGUGGACUGUCAUUCCCUCCAAGGACUCUUUAAAGCUCAAGACUGCCAAAUGUAACUAAUAAUCUUGUGUUCUCCCUUAUAGAAACCCCAAGGAAACCUCUAUCUGGCUUGUAAAAAAAUUGUUAAUUAUGUGACAAAACAGUGAAUUUAAAUGUUGGUUUUCUUUCUCCUUUUGGUUAACAGCUUUAAUAAUGACAGCUGCAAGAAAUUUGUUAAUCUUCCUAUUGGGCCUUGUAUUAUACUCAGAUUGGAAAACUAUGUCAAAGAUCAGGUUCAAAUUAUACAGCUUAUGAUUUUAAAGAUGCAAGGUUAUAAACAGGUACCUAUGUCUGAAAACCCAUGAGCCAAUGAUUUGGUGCACUGACUAAAAUCAGUGGGGAAUGCUGUACACUAGCAAAAAGAGCUCUGUUACGUUUGUAUUAUGCCAAAGUACCUGUAACGCCGCCUACUGUUUUGUAUACAUUUUCCCCCCUCUGGGUGACCUAACUGAUAUGUUAAUCAAUGCUCCUGUCUGUAAAAAAUUGUAAAUCCCGGGGAACCUAACCUAAUUGAUAUGUUAAACAUCGUUGCCCUCUACUAAUAACAGAUGUGGUGCUAAAAUAAGCUGACAAAGAAUUAACUAAUGCUAGACUACUCUGUCCUCUGCUAAGGAAAACAUUUCCUUAGCAGAUUUCCUGAUCCACCCCCAUAGCCCUUUACUUUGUAAACUCUGCUCUCUACAAGAGGCUAGAAAGCUUUAAGGAGGACACACAGCUUUUGCAAAUUCCAACUGCACUGUGUUACAGGGCCCAGGAUAAAAUAAAUCAGCGCUGCUUUUUGAAAAUAAAAACAUGUCUUGCCCAUUUUUGAACUUGAGUUUAGGCUUUGGGGGGCUUGUUUGUGGAUUACAAGAUUUAAUGGCAUAUUUUUAUUAUUUUAUUCUUUCACAUGUUAUAUUAGUUGCUAAAGUUACUGGUAUUCCUUGCUUAACUAUAUUUAGACAAUAGCACCACAGAUAAUAAUAGAACACCCUGAAUAGUCUUUAAUAUAAAUUUCUGUUAAAUGGUUUUCUUAAAUGAAAUCUAGUUCAGACUUAGAAAACAUACAUGCCUGCAAUAAAACAUGGGACUCGUUCCACCAUUUAAGAAGCACUAGGCUGGUGGCCAUGCUUCCGGAUUUGGAGCACAGGUUUCACUGAGACAGACUGGCUCUGCUCCUCCUUUAUCCUCCAGAGGAAUGUCAAGCCUGUUCUGUUUCCUUUGUUUCACUUUAUCUCUUACUCUCUUGCCACUUUACAUUUUCCUAAUAAAGGCAUAUAAAAGUGGGAAAAACUCUAGAUUAUUCCAACCUUUUCCUUUUGAGUUAAGCCCAUAGAAAAUGAGCAUUUGCUAAUGCCAAGGACAGGGAAGUCAUCUUAGAUGAGGGACACAUACCCCAUCUCUGGGUCAGAUGAGACAUCAGAAUUGUGCCUAUUCAGGAGAAUACACAUGAGAGCCGUGUCCCAGCUCAGUGUUCUGGGCAAAUCUCCUUUGGAAAUUAAACCUGAGACACAGUGGGGAGAACCAGUUUCCAUGGGGCAAUGGAAGCAGCUAUCCUUAAAAGCAGCACACAUAGGGGAUGUAAACCUAUUUAGAAUAAGGAGGCUUUCCAACCUCUCAAAUUAUGGACUUAAAAACCUUUAUUAUAAAUUGAUAAAUGUGUAGGUAAUGAUCUUGCAGUCUUUUAAUUAUCCCUUAUAGAAUUUUGACACACAGUGGUCACUGUGCCAGCUAAUUAUCCUUAUAGCAACUGCCACCCUCAAAAUCAGAGGCUAGCUUUCCCCAGCAUCUGUUUGGUGAAUCCCCAUGGAAGCCAGUGGCCAAUGGAGUCAACAGAAUGUUGACCAGACAGGCAGCUGGAUUCCUUUUUGGAGACUGAUGUCUGGUUAUCUGAGGCAAUAGAAACUGAGAACUGAGGGUUCCUGGCCAGAGUAACACUCUGGUUGUCACCCAACAUUUCCUCAAUGGACAUUUGCUCAUGACCAUUUAAAAUCUCCUCUUUUCUAUCAUUCUUAUUUCUCUGCUAGUAGACUAAAAACAUUCUAAACUUUUCAAUAGAUCUUAAGAUCACUUAAACUACCCGUCCCUUCAGAGAUUAUACUGAGGUAGCUUGCAAUGACUGCUUACAUUCCAUAGCAGCUACUAGGGAAAUGAUUUACCUAUGUUAAUUAAAAGUAAAUAGACUUGAGCAAUUAUUUCUAAGAUGACAAUGUGUAAUCUAUUAUCUAGUGAUUUCUAUUUUUUUGAAAUUCUGUGUUACUUGGACUCUUUUUCAGUUUUUUUCUUUUCUCUUUAAAUAAAAGUUUUUUCUUUUGUCUUUAAAUAAAAUUUUUAAAAAUGUAACUAGGAUUUUUUGUGUGACUAGAAGACUGAUGUGCCUCUUUCUAACUUAAAAUGUGACUGCUAGAUGAUAAUUUAUAAAUUUAACCUGUGAGCUUCAAAGAUACAGAAAUCUAAAUGAAGUAUAACCUUGUCCUGUUACGAAGAAAGGUUACCUAGAUAAGUGAGAAACAAAUGUCUGGAGACUCUUGCCCAGAUUAAGGAGUAAGGCUCCUCCAGUCAGUUGUUCUAUCUAUCUCUAGAGGAGAGUUACUCUAAAAAACCUGAAAAGUACUCUAUCACCAAUUCACCUUUUAAUGUAUGCUCCCUUAUAAUACAUGCUUACAAAGUCAUGCUUCCUUCAUUAAACAUUCUUUAUGGAAACAAAACUCACGAGCUAUCUAGCAAUAUAGGAUUGUGUGCCAGGUCCAGGGUGGAUAAGCUGACAGAAUCUAUCGUCCAUUCUCUCCAGAGGGCAUUCACCUGCCCUGGAGCAGUUUCAACCCAAGAGACACAUGGGGAACAUCUAUCAAAUAGGAAAAAAAAGGACAUCUUAUUUUAACUCAUUUUAUGCAUUAACUAGAUAGCUCAAUAUCACUCAUAGCUCAUCAAACGGUACUUAGUUCAAUGCCUGGGUACAGAAAAGGUUUCAUACUUAUGCCUUGCUUUUACUUUAUAGACAUGGACAACAAAAUGCCAAAGCCCCUUCUCCUUUGGAACACAUUCUUAGGCACUAGAUGUUCAAGCCUUCCAUGUUGAAAAAGAUCCAAUUGGUAUUUCUCUGCAUGAGUGUGUGGCCUACCUACCCCCUAGAGCCUUAGUGGAAUACAGAGGUAAGUAUUAAUUAUGAUCCUCUUUUACAACCAGAGACAUACCAUGACAAGCAGGAAAAAUGGUCAGUGUUGUCCUACAUUCAGACUUUCUAUGCAUUGGGAAAUAUUUCUUAUUUAUACUCUAAAUGUAAAUGUUAGCCACAGGAAAACUCAGCACCUCGGGCCCUUAAGGCAUCUUCUCCCCAAGAGCAGAAAAUUGCACCUCCUGAACCUUUAGAACCUGAGGACAAAAUAGCCUUAAUCAAACCCCCCCCCUUUUUUUACUGAACCUAAGGUUUCCCCCACCUGCCCUUCCAGCCUUAAGGAUAAAGCUUCUAGGCCAGCUGUAAUCCAGGCCUCUCCAGGACUAUACCCAUCCUUAGCUGAGUUUAAGCAAGCUCCUCAAGGGCAGUAUCCUUUGCAGGGAGUACAUGGAUGAUCUGGAACUUCCAGAGUUCAUGUACCUUUCUCUCUUGGUGACCCAAGACAAAUAAAAUUAGAUCUUGGCAAAUUUUCAGAUGAGCCUGACAAGUACAUUCAGGUCCUUAGAGGACUUACUCAGGCAUAUGAAGUAGAUUGGAAAGAUGUAGUGUUACUCUUAAAUCAGACAUUCACUUCUCGUGAGAGACACGCAGCAUUAUAGGCUGCUAUUGCCUUUGGAUAUGAAUACCAUAUUGUCAAUUUUAGAAGGCCAGAAGAUAAAGGGAAAUAACUUUAGCAACUAGUUUAAAUUUAACUUGUGCAAGAAUAAAAUAAUAAAAAUAUGCCAUUAAAUCUUGUAAUCCACAAACGAGCCCCCAAAGCCCAAACUCGAGUUCAAAAAUGGACAAGACGUGUUUUUAUUUUAAAAAAGCAGCACUGAUUUAUUUUGUCUUGGCCCAGCGACACAGUGCAGUUGGAGUUUGCAAAAGCUGUGUUCCCACUGGAUCACAAACAGUCCCUAUGCAAGACUCUUACUUGGCCCACAACCAGGUGGGUGAUUGGAUUAGAAAAUAUUUCCAGACAUGUGUUCUUGAAGGCUGAAGAAGAGUGAGAACUAAACCAUUCAAUUAUUUUAAGUUAUCAGUUAUUCAACAAGAAAAGAAGGAACAAUUUUCUGCCUCCUUAGAUGGAUUAUGAGAGGCAUUGAUAAAGCAUACUUCUUUAGAUUCUGAUUCAAUAGAGGGACAAAUUAUCCUUAAAGAUAAGUUUAUUACACAGUCAGCCUCAGCUAUUAGAAAAAAGCUACAAAAGAUGGCUUUUCCUCCAGAUACUCCACUUGAUACUUUAUUUAUUCAUUGAUUUUGUGUGUGUUGGAGUUUGUGGAUCAAACACAACCACACAUUGGCCAGGCAAGUGAUUUUGCCACUGAGCUAAAUCCCCAGCUCACUUGAUACUUUAGUAAAAGUUGCCUCCUCAGUAUUUUAUAACUGUGAGAGGGAGGUCAAAGAGAGAAAACAAAGAGACUGAGAAAAAGCAGCUGCUUUUGCACAGCAUUAAGAGAAACAGACCCUAAGUCUGAUUCUCAGGUCUCCAAGAAGAGCUCAACAAUGACAUUCACCUGCCAUCACUGCCACAAGCCAGGUGACCUUAAGAGGGACUGCACUCAAAAGCCCCCUGGGCCAUGCCCUGACUGCAGACGUGACCACUGGAUGUCAGACUGCCCUCUCAGCCCAAGGCCCCACCAGGGUUCAGAUUCAUCCUACCUUUACCUCUUAUCAAAAUAACAAAUACACCUCAAAACCUAGGCCUCAGUCCGCCUGAAAUGCCUUAUGGAUGCCCUUUCCUCACUGAUGAUUUUCUCUUUGUCAGAGAAACAGAUGCCUUAUAAAAAGACAUCACCUCAUUGGAUAAACUCCAACAAACUCUUCAAGAGCUUACAGAAGCUCAGCCUACAGAGAAAGGAAAACCUAUCUUCCACCCUGGAGAUUUAGUACUGGUAAAAUCCCCUCCCUCAUCAGCCAUUUGGAAGGACCUUACACUGUGAUCCUGUCGACUUCUUCCAUGCUGAAGACAAUAGGCCUGGACACUCGGAUGCAUCACACCUGACACAAACCCUGGAAACUUGAGACUAUCACUGGAUGUGAACAACCACCCACAUACUCCUGUGAACCCACAGAAGACCUAAGAUUCCUCUUCAAGGAGAAAACAAAGACUUCAGACUUAGAGCUAUAUGUCUACCCAAGAUGAAAAUGCCUGGCAUCUAUUGGGGGCCUCUAGACAGGAUCUCUGCAGAAGUAUCUCUGACUGCUGGUCACCACUACAACCCUCUUCAGCCUGAAGAAGCCAGAUCGGUCAUCACCCAUGACACCCUCAUGGCAGUUCUGGUUACUUCUUCAGAGAGGGGACUGUUAUAAGCAGCUGAGUUAGUUAGAAAUACUACAGGAAGUGAGACAGGGCUAGGUCCUCAAAGGAGCCAGUGCAGAAGCUCAGAUACCUUGCAACUAAGGGGAAGACAAGCACCUGCUGCUGUGGGCCAAGCCUCAAGAUAAAAGACCAUACAAAUACAUCCAUAUCCUAAGGAGUGAAGUUCUAAAGAGUUCCCUAGCACCCUGAGGGAGUAAGGAGUGACAUUCCAAACCUUUGGGGAAGAUUCACUGCUCUCUUAAGAAUUCCUGCAUUCUAAGUGAUUCCCUUCCCCUUUUGUCCCCAGUUUAAUCAAUUUUACCUGAACUAUUCAUCUUAUUGGUCAGUCAUAGUUUUGUACCACCUUAUGCCCAUCUGCCUUGUGAGUACCCAGUUUCCCCAUGUUAAACUCUUUUUAAUGCCGUGAUUUUACUCGAAGAGUCUUUAGAAAAAAUAGAGUCCCUGGCAACCCGCUUGGGACCCCUUUUGUCUCUCUCUCAGACAGAAGCUUGCUUUCUCUCAAUAAAUAUAUUCUACUCUUAA